GUACUGAUGAAGAGUCUUGAACUAGGACGAAACAGCUGUCCAGUAC
rnacentral:hammerhead_ribozyme from 1 species